rnacentral:rRNA from 1 species
AUUGAACGCUGGCGGAAUGCUUUACACAUGCAAGUCGAACGGCAGCACGGGGGCAGCCCUGGUGGCGAGUGGCGAACGGGGGAGUAAUACAUCGGAAUGUGCCCGGUCGUGGGGGGUAAUGUCGCGAAAGUUAUGCUAAUACCGCAUAAGAUCUGAGGCUGAAACCUGGGGAGCUUCGGGCAUCGUGCGAUCGGAGCGGCCGAUGUCCGAGUUGGUAGUUGGUGGGGUGACGGCCUACCAAGCCGACGAUUUGUGGGUGGUCGGAGAGGAAGACGCGCCGCCCGGGGGCUGGGACACGGCCCAGACUCCUACGGGAGGCAGCAGUGGGGAAUUUUGGACAAUGGGCGCGAGCCUGAUCCAGCCAUUCCACGUGCAGGACGAAGGCCUUCGGGUUGUAAACUGCUUUUGUACGGAACGAAAAGGCUCUGGCUAAUACCUAGGGCUCAUGACGGUACCGUAAGAAUAAGCACCGGCUAACUACGUG